AGAAAUCGAGCGUGAGAAACGCAAGGAACAGACGUGGAAGCACGACGAUGGCAAGGAACUUACCGGGCCUGAUAUGAAGCUCUGAGAGCAAUCUGCAAAAAGCCCCGCAACAGCGGGGCUUU
rnacentral:sRNA from 1 species